AUUGAACGCUGGCGGCGUGCCUCAGACAUGCAAGUCGAACGAUUAAGACUUCCUUCGGGAAGUGUAUAAAGUGGCGCACGGGUGAGUAACACGUAAGUAAUCUACCUUCGAGUGGGGAAUAACAUCGGGAAACCGAUGCUAAUACCGCAUAAUGCAGCGGCAUCGCAAGAUGACAGUUGUUAAAGGAGCAAUUCGCUUGAAGAGGAGCUUGCGGCAGAUUAGCUAGUUGGUAAGGUAAUGGCUUACCAAGGCUACGAUCUGUAUCCGGUCUAAGAGGACGGUCGGACACACUGACACUGAAUAACGGGUCAGACUCCUACGGGAGGCAGCAGUCGGGAAUUUUGGGCAAUGGGCGAAAGCCUGACCCAGCAACGCCGCGUGAGGGAUGAAGUAUUUCGGUAUGUAAACCUCGAAAGAAUGGGAAGAAUAAAUGACGGUACCAUUUAUAAGCUCCGGCUAACUAUGUGCCAGCCGCCGCAGUAAAAC
rnacentral:rRNA from 1 species